rnacentral:rRNA from 1 species
ACUAAACCUAGCCCAAACAAAAUAAACCAAACUAUAACACAAUAAUAAAACAAAACAUUUACUUUCUUAUUAAAGUAUAGGAGAUAGAAAUAUUACUUGGAGCUAUAGAGAAAGUACCGCAAGGGAAUGAUGAAAGACAAUUUAAAGUAUAAAACAGCAAAGAUUAACCCUUUUACCUUUUGCAUAAUGAACUAGCUAGAAUAACUUAACAAAGAGAACUUAAGCUAAGCCCCCCGAAACCAGACGAGCUACCUAUGAACAAUUUAUUAGAAUGAACUCAUCUAUGUAGCAAAAUAGUGAAAAGAUUUGUAGGUAGAGGUGAAAAGCCUAACGAGCCUGGUGAUAGCUGGUUGCCCACGACAGAAUUUUAGUUCGACUUUAAAUUUACCAAAAUAAACCCAUAAUUAUUAUGUAAAUUUAAUUUAUAGUCUAAAGAGGUACAGCUCUUUAGACAAAGGAUACAGCCUUAUUUGGAGAGUAAACUAUUACCAAAUCAUAGUAGGCCUAAAAGCAGCCACCAAUUAAGAAAGCGUUCAAGCUCAACAACCUAAACUUUAUAAAUACCAAAAGUCAUAAAUAACUCCCAAUCCACUACUGGGCCAAUCUAUAUUAUUAUAGAAGCAAUAAUGCUAGCAUGAGUAACAAGAAAUAAUUCUCCCCGCACAAGCCUAUAACAGUUAACGGAUAACCACUGAUAGUUAACAACAAAAUAAAUAUAAAUCACUAAUAAACCUCUUAUUAAACUAAUUGUUAACCCAACACAGGAGUGCAACAUCAGGGAAAGAUUAAAAGGAGUAAAAGGAACUCGGCAAAUAUUAAACCUCGCCUGUUUACCAAAAACAUCACCUCUAGCAUUACUAGUAUUAGAGGCACUGCCUGCCCAGUGACAUUAGUUUAACGGCCGCGGUAUCCUGACCGUGCAAAGGUAGCAUAAUCAUUUGUUCCUUAAAUAGGGACUUGUAUGAAUGGCCACACGAAGGUUUAACUGUCUCUUACUCCCAAUCAGUGAAAUUGACCUCCCCGUGAAGAGGCGGGGAUAGUAUAAUAAGACGAGAAGACCCUAUGGAGCUUCAAUUAAUUAACCCAUGAUAACCAAACACCCAAUCCACAGGAAUUAACAUAAUGUUAUCAAUGGCUUAACAAUUUAGGUUGGGGUGACCUCGGAAAAUAACACAACUUCCGAAUGAUACAAGUUAAGACUUACUAGUCAAAACAUCCUCUCACUUAUUGAUCCAAGAUCUUGAUCAACGGAACAAGUUACCCUAGGGAUAACAGCGCAAUCUUAUUUAAGAGUCCAUAUCGACAAUAAGGUUUACGACCUCGAUGUUGGAUCAGGACAUCCUAAUGGUGCAGCAGCUAUUAAAGGUUCGUUUGUUCAACGAUUAAAGUCCUACGUGAUCUGAGUUCAGACCGGAGUAAUCCAGGUCGGUUUCUAUCUAUUUCGUGGUUUUUCCUAGUACGAAAGGACAAGAAAAACAAGGCCAACCUCAAAAGGCGCCUUUAGACUAACAGAUGGUAUAAUCUCAAUCUGGUCAAUCUACCUAUACAUGCUUAGCCCUAGAGUUAGGGUUU